rnacentral:rRNA from 1 species
UACGUAGGGUGCAAGCGUUAAUCGGAAUUACUGGGCGUAAAGCGUGCGCAGGCGGUUAUGCAAGACAGAUGUGAAAUCCCCGGGCUUAACCUGGGCACUGCAUUUGUGACUGCAUGGCUAGAGUGUGUCAGAGGGGGGUAGAAUUCCACGUGUAGCAGUGAAAUGCGUAGAGAUGUGGAGGAACACCGAUGGCGAAGGCAGCCCCCUGGGAUAACACUGACGCUCAUGCACGAAAGCGUGGGGAGCAAACAGG